AGAGUUUGAUCCUGGCUCAGAUUGAACGCUGGCGGCAGGCUUAACACAUGCAAGUCGAGCGGGGAAAGGUAGCUUGCUACCUUACCUAGCGGCGGACGGGUGAGUAAUGCUUAGGAAUCUGCCUAUUAGUGGGGGACAACAUUUCGAAAGGAAUGCUAAUACCGCAUACGCCCUACGGGGGAAAGCAGGGGACCUUCGGGCCUUGCGCUAAUAGAUGAGCCUAAGUCGGAUUAGCUAGUUGGUGGGGUAAAGGCCUACCAAGGCGACGAUCUGUAGCGGGUCUGAGAGGAUGAUCCGCCACACUGGGACUGAGACACGGCCCAGACUCCUACGGGAGGCAGCAGUGGGGAAUAUUGGACAAUGGGGGGAACCCUGAUCCAGCCAUGCCGCGUGUGUGAAGAAGGCCUUUUGGUUGUAAAGCACUUUAAGCGAGGAGGAGGCUCCCAGUAUUAAUACUACUGGAGAGUGGACGUUACUCGCAGAAUAAGCACCGGCUAACUCUGUGCCAGCAGCCGCGGUAAUACAGAGGGUGCAAGCGUUAAUCGGAUUUACUGGGCGUAAAGCGUGCGCAGGUGGCCAAUUAAGUCAAAUGUGAAAUCCCCGAGCUUAACUUGGGAAUUGCAUUCGAUACUGGUUGGCUAGAGUAUGGGAGAGGAUGGUAGAAUUCCAGGUGUAGCGGUGAAAUGCGUAGAGAUCUGGAGGAAUACCGAUGGCGAACGCAGCCAUCUGGGCCUAAUACUGACACUGAGGUACGAAAGCAUGGGGAGCAAACAGGAUUAGAUACCCUGGUAGUCCAUGCCGUA
rnacentral:rRNA from 1 species